CCCUGAGAGGGGGAUCCCCCACACUGGUAGUGAGACACGGACCAGAGUCCUACGGGAGGCAGCAGUGAGGAAUAUUGGACAAUGGAGGAGAGUUUGAUCCAGCCAUGCCGCGUGCAGGAAGAAUGCCCUAUGGGUAGUAAACUGCUUUUAUACGGGAAGAAAAAGGGGCACGUGUGGCUCACUGACGGUACCGUAAGAAUAAGGACCGGCUAACUCCGUGCCAGCAGCCGCGGUAAUACGGAGGGUCCGAGCGUUAUCCGGAAUUAUUGGGUUUAAAGGGUCAGUAGGCGGGCCGAUAAGUCAGGGGUGAAAAUCUGCAGCUCAACGGUAAAAUUGCCUUUGAUACUGUCGGUCUUGAGUUAUAGUGAAGUUGCCGGAAUAUGUAGUGUAGCGGUGAAAU
rnacentral:rRNA from 1 species